rnacentral:rRNA from 1 species
UUUGCAUAUCAAUAAGCGGAGGAAAAGAAACCAACAGGGAUUGGUCUAGUAACGGCGAGUGAAGCGGCAACAGCUCAAAUUUGAAAUCUGGCUCUUUCAGAGUCCGAGUUGUAAUUUGCAGAGGGCGCUUUGGCUUUGGCAGCGGUCCAAGUUCCUUGGAACAGGACGUCACAGAGGGUGAGAAUCCCGUACGUGGUCGCUAGCUAUUGCCGUGUAAAGCCCCUUCGACGAGUCGAGUUGUUUGGGAAUGCAGCUCUAAAUGGGAGGUAAAUUUCUUCUAAAGCUAAAUAUUGGCCAGAGACCGAUAGCGCACAAGUAGAGUGAUCGAAAGAUGAAAAGCACUUUGGAAAGAGAGUCAAACAGCACGUGAAAUUGUUGAAAGGGAAGCGCUUGCAGCCAGACUUGCUUGCAGUUGCUCAUCCGGGCUUUUGCCCGGUGCACUCUUCUGUAGGCAGGCCAGCAUCAGUUUGGGCGGUGGGAUAAAGGUCUCUGUCACGUACCUCUCUUCGGGGAGGCCUUAUAGGGGAGACGACAUACCACCAGCCUAGACUGAGGUCCGCGCAUCUGCUAGGAUGCUGGCGUAAUGGCUGUAAGCGGCCCGUCUUGAAACACGGACCC